rnacentral:tRNA from 1 species
GCCUCCGUAGCUCAACCGGAUAGAGCACCCGCCUUCUAAGCGGACGGUUGCAGGUUCGAGUCCUGCCGGAGGCGCCA